UCUGGAGCAGAAACACUUAACAGAGCCCGAGCUCGAGCUGUCUCCUACACGCUGCUGAGCCUGUGCUAAUGGGCGCUGCUUGAUUGGGGCCUUGGCCCGCUGCUGUAUCAGAGCUGACCACGGAUCAACAGAGGAAUAAGGCGUAUUUUCUCGCGGAGCGAAGCUGGACUGAGAAAGCUCGCCGGGGUCAAGGUCGCAUCCCUCAGUAAGGUGACCGCGCGCGCUUCUCCAUUCAAACCUGCGUGCGCCGCAGCAAGGGAUGAAGAGAAGAGCGGUCAGCGGAAAAGCACGAGGGUUCAGCAGCUCUGGCUUUGACUUGGAUAUGGGACUGCCUUGGUGGCUCAUAAACAUGGGGAGCAGGUCUCUCUGAAAGGCCUUUCACACACCCCGCCUUCCUCCGGCCAACCUGGCAGGCCCUUCCCAGAGUGACUACGCAUAAUUUCCUUUCG